UACGGAGGGUGCAAGCGUUAUCCGGAUUCACUGGGUUUAAAGGGUGCGUAGGUGGGUCUGUAAGUCAGUGGUGAAAUCUCCAGGCUUAACCUGGAAACUGCCAUUGAUACUAUAGGUCUUGAAUUAUCUGGAGGUCAGCGGAAUAUGUCAUGUAGCGGUGAAAUGCUUAGAUAUGACAUAGAACACCGAUUGCGAAGGCAGCUGGCUACAGGUAUAUUGACACUGAGGCACGAAAGCGUGGGGAUCAAACAGG
rnacentral:rRNA from 1 species